AGGCUGAUAUUGUAGGUAUGAGCCACCACAACCAGCUAGAAAGGAUUACUUCAAAUGAAGUCUAGAAAGAAGUAAGAGUUUGGGGGCAGAUGUUUUUGUGUAAGUCAGUAUACAGAAAUAUGCUUCAGUUUCUCUCUUUGUCUGGGCUGUUUCGGUGAUGCUUAGGCAGAUGUCUUCUUGAUUACAGGGAAGAAUCUGUGAGUGUGAAUUCAUGGGUGGGCAUCAGGGAUUUGUGUCAACAAGCGGUGGACCUCCUCAGCUGAUGACUUUUCAGGGCAUUAAGGUUUACAUGUCUAAUCGUGAUUUGCUGUGAGAAGUAAGGGUGCAAGAAACUUGAAAUAGAAGCUAGAACUCCUGACAGAAAGGCAUAAAGGAAAAACUCAGGAUUUGGAAUCAGCCUUGUGCUAAGGUUAUGAUUGGCAAAAUAAUAGUCAUACUUCUCACCACUCUGUAGAGCUGUGAAGCUGAUUUGAAAUGAGGUCUCUCAAAAGCACAUGGUGCCUAUGAGCAGAAAUAAAGGAAGAACCCAUCUGGAAUACAUCAAAACGAAUUAAGUUACCUUUUGCGUUGGUGGCAUUUGAAACUUCUGGGAUCAAUACCUACUGCAUGAAUACAUGAAGCCUGGAGGAAUCAGAAACCAAAAUAUUUUCCCAUUUCACUUGUCCAUUUUGAAUUUUCCCUCUGGAAAAUCUUAGUCAUUCUGUGAAACUGGGUUAGCCUUAGUGACCCUCCCUUGACAGCCAUCUGCUGAACCGCUCGUUGGGAAGCGCACCGUGUGUCAUGUGGGCAAAUGCCUUCAGGUUACACAGAUUUGAAAGAAAGGCAGAAACCUCACUGAUUGGAUCCAUUCAUUGUGGAUACACUCGUGCCCUCCCAGCAGGUUCCACUUGCUUGCAUCUUCUUCUGUGUUAGAAUUUUGUUGUUGUGUUAGGUUGUUGUAUACAUCGAAAGUAAUUGCAAAAACCACCAUCACUUUUGCACCAACUUAAUAACUAGAGAGUACUGGCUUCCUCAGCCUUCCAGUCUCAUCUCAAGUGUUCCUUCUAAAGCUUUUCCUGCUCAUUUUCUGACCCUUCAUUUUCUCUUGAAAAGUCAUCACUCUGUCCUCACCACCCUCAGGGUCCAUCCUCCACAUGGCCACCUUCUGUGUAUGGUGGUUAUAACCUUGUGAGUAAGGUGGGUGUAUGUGUCUCUGUGUCCUUCUUUCUCUCCCCAUUGGGUUCCUUAUUAAUGAUAUACAAAUGAUUGUCAUGGCCAGGCGCGGUGGCUCAUGCCUAUAAUCCCAGCACUUUGGGAGGCCAAGGUGG